rnacentral:rRNA from 1 species
GUGUCAGCCGCCGCGGUAAUACGGAGGGUGCAAGCGUUAUCCGGAAUCACUGGGUUUAAAGGGUGCGUAGGCGGCCUGGUAAGUCAGGGGUGAAAGUUUGCCGCUCAACGGUAAAAUUGCCUUUGAUACUGUCAGGCUUGAAUAGGCGCGAGGCAGGCGGAAUGUGACAUGUAGCGGUGAAAUGCAUAGAUAUGUCAUAGAACACCAAUUGCGAAGGCAGCUUGCCAGAGCCUUAUUGACGCUGAGGCACGAAAGCGUGGGGAGCUAACAGGAUUAGAUACCCUGGUAGUCCACGCCCUAAACGAUGCUUACUCGAUAUUCGUCCUUCGGGAUGAGUGUCCAAGCGAAAGCGAUAAGUAAGCCACCUGGGGAGUACGCCGGCAACGGUGAAACUUAAAGGAAUUGGCGGGG